AUGAGACUUCGGUGGAUUUUAAACUGACUGAGCGGCGGACGGGUGAGUAACGCGUGGAUAACCUGCCUCACACAGGGGGAUAACAGUUAGAAAUGACUGCUAAUACCGCAUAAGCGCACGGCAUCGCAUGAUGCAGUGUGAAAAACUCCGGUGGUGUGAGAUGGAUCCGCGUCUGAUUAGGUAGUUGGUGGGGUAACGGCCCACCAAGCCGACGAUCAGUAGCCGACCUGAGAGGGUGACCGGCCACAUUGGGACUGAGACACGGCCCAAACUCCUACGGGAGGCAGCAGUGGGGAAUAUUGCACAAUGGGCGAAAGCCUGAUGCAGCGACGCCGCGUGAGUGAAGAAGUAUCUCGGUAUGUAAAGCUCUAUCAGCAGGGAAGAAAAUGACGGUACCUGACUAAGAAGCCCCGGCUAACUACGUGCCAGCAGCCGCGGUAAUACGUAGGGGGCAAGCGUUAUCCGGAUUUACUGGGUGUAAAGGGAGCGCAGACGGCGAUGCAAGUCUGGAGUGAAAGCCCGGGGCUCAACCCCGGGACUGCUUUGGAAACUGUAUGGCUAGAGUGCUGGAGAGGCAAGCGGAAUUCCUAGUGUAGCGGUGAAAUGCGUAGAUAUUAAGAAGAACACCAGUGGCGAAGGCGGCUUGCUGGACAGUAACUGACGUUCAGGCUCGAAA
rnacentral:rRNA from 1 species